UACGUAGGGUGCGAGCGUUAAUCGGAAUUACUGGGCGUAAAGCGUGCGCAGGCGGUUUUGUAAGCCAGAUGUGAAAGCCCCGGGCUUAACCUGGGAAUGGCAUUUGGGACUGCAAGGCUUGAGUGCGGCAGAGGAGACUGGAAUUCCUGGUGUAGCAGUGAAAUGCGUAGAUAUCAGGAGGAAUACCGAUGGCGAAGGCAGGUCUCUGGGCCUGUACUGACGCUGAGGAGCGAAAGCGUGGGGAGCGAACAGG
rnacentral:rRNA from 1 species